CCCUUAGAUGUUCUGGGCUGCACGCGUGCUACAAUGGCGCUUGCAACAAGAUUGCCAACCCGAUAGGGUGAGCGGAUCUUUGAAGAGGCGUCGUGAUCGGGACAGUUGAUUGCAAUUAUUCGACUCGAACGAGGAAUUCCUUGUAAUCGCGAUUCAUCAUAUCGCGCUGAAUACGUCCCUGCCCUUUGUACACACCGCCCGUCGCUCCUACCGAUUGAGCGAUCCGGUGAAUGUUUUGGACUGGCGUCAGAAGCGGUUCGCUCCUGACACUACGAAAUUUUGUAAACCUUAUCGCUUAGAGGAAGGAAAAGUCGUAACA
rnacentral:rRNA from 1 species